UUGGUGCCUGUUGCUAGAAUC
ensembl:piRNA 21ur-2400 ncRNA